rnacentral:rRNA from 1 species
UACGUAGGAGGCAAGCGUUGUCCGGAAUUACUGGGCGUAAAGCGUGCGUAGACGGUCAUGUAAGUCGGGUGUGAAAGCCCCGGGCUCAACCUGGGAAUUGCAUUCGAGACUGCAUGGCUAGGGUGCGGAAGAGGGAAGCGGAAUUUCCGGUGUAGCGGUGAAAUGCGCAGAUAUCGAGGAGGAACACCGGUGGCGAAGCGG